UGGGGAAUAUUGCGCAAUGGGGGAAACCCUGACGCAGCGACGCCGCGUGGAGGAUGACGGUUUUCGGAUUGUAAACUCCUGUUAAGUGGGAAGAAUGACCAAGGUCUAAUAAAUCUUGGGGGUGACGGUACCACUAGAGAAAGCACCGGCUAACUUCGUGCCAGCAGCCGCGGUAAUACGAGGGGUGCAAGCGUUAUUCGGAGUUACUGGGCGUAAAGAGCGCGUAGGCGGUAUGUUAAGUUGGUUGUUAAAUCCCCUGGCUCAACCAGGGAUCAGCAAUCAAAACUGGCAAACUAGAGGACAAGAGAGAAAGGUGGAAUUCUCGGAGUAGCGGUAAAAUGCGUAGAUCUCGAGAGGAAUAUCGGUUGCGAAGGCGGCCUUUUGGCUUGUAUCUGACGCU
rnacentral:rRNA from 1 species